rnacentral:rRNA from 1 species
UACGUAGGGUGCAAGCGUUGUCCGGAAUUAUUGGGCGUAAAGAGCGUGUAGGCGGCCCGAUUAGUCCGCUGUGAAAGUCCAGGGCUCAACCCUGGAAUGCCGGUGGAUACUGUCGGGCUAGAGUCCGGAAGGGGCGAGUGGAAUUCCUGGUGUAGCGGUGAAAUGCGCAGAUAUCAGGAGGAACACCGAUGGCGAAGGCAGAUCUCUGGGCCGUAACUGACGCUGAGGAGCGAAAGCGUGGGGAGCGAACAGG